rnacentral:rRNA from 1 species
UAACACAUGCAAGCUACGUACGAGUAUUUUUAACUACAAGCUGGCGGACGGGUGAGUAACACGUGAGAAUCUGCCUUUAGGAGGGGGACAACAACUGGAAACGGUUGCUAAUACCCCAUAUGCUUUCGAGUGAAAUAGAUUUAUCUGCCUAAAGAGGAGCUCGCGGCCUGAUUAGCUUGUUGGUAAGGUGAUGGCUUACCNNNGCGACGAUCAGUAUCUGGUUUGAGAGGACGAUCAGACACACUGGAACUGAGACACGGUCCAGACUCCUACGGGAGGCAGCAGUGGGGAAUUUUCCGCAAUGGGCGAAAGCCUGACGGAGCAAUACCGCGUGAGGGAAGACGGCCUAUGGGUUGUAAACCUCUUUUCUCAGGGAGGAAAUCAAUGACGUGUACCUGAGGAAUAAGCAUCGGCUAACUCCGUGCCAGCAGCCGCGGUAAGACGGAGGAUGCAAGUGUUAUCCGGAAUCACUGGGCGUAAAGCGUCUGUAGGUGGUUUAAUAAGUCAACUGUUAAAUCUUGAGGCUCAACUUCAAAAUCGCAGUCGAAACUAUUAGACUAGAGUAUAGUAGGGGUAAAGGGAAUUUCCAGUGGAGCGGUGAAAUGCGUAGAGA